rnacentral:lncRNA from 1 species
ACAGCUGUGUCCUACCUUAUCUUUUUCACUCUUCUUCCAACUUAUUAUCUCUUCUCACCGUCAUUUCUCUUUCUUCCAACUUAUCUCUUUCACUUUCUUCCACUCUUCUCACCGUCAUUUCUUUGCAUAUUUUGAAGAAUCAAUUUUCACGGAUCUUGGAGGAAUUGGGUUCUUCAAUUUUCACGGAUCUUGGAGGAACUGGGUCAUAUAUCUGUAAGUUUAGUCAUCAGUGCUUCGAUCUCUUUUUUUUUUCGUAUAUCUCUCUUUCACUCUUCCAACUAUCUUCUCACCGUCAUUUUUCUACGCAUUUUGAAGAAUCGAUUUUCAAGCGGAUUGGAGGAACUGGAUUCUGCAAUUUUCACGGAUCUUGGAGGAAUUGGGUCAUAUAUCUAUUAGUUUAGUCAUCAGUGCUUCAAUCUCUUAUUUUUUUCGUAUAUCAAUUUAUUAUUUUUCAAAUUUUGGAGUCGCAUUGUUUAAUUUAUGUUGUUUUCGGGGUUUUUUUUCCUUUUUUUUUUUCUUGAUUUCAUCUUUGAAGGAGUCAUCCCCAAAAUACGUGCAGUAAUGUUUAAGGGAUCGUUAGGUCACUGUGAAUUUGUUUUUCAGUUUCUUCAAAUGUGGUUUUCAAUAUGAACUUCCUUUUUCAGCCGGUAAGUUUUGUCCCCCAAAUAUGUAUAAUUAUGCUUUAGGGACUCUUAAAGAGUUUAUGAUGUUGUGUAUGUGCUUUUGAUUUCUUUCAAAUGACCUGUAAAUAUGUUUUUUCUUGUUAAGCAUGAGUUUAACGCCAAUUUUUUUACCUUCUCUUGUAAAAUUGAAUUCUAACUACCUAAAGUCUAUUAUUUUGAUGGAAUGCCUAUUUUAGACUUCCUUUUUGUUCCUCUGAGUUUGAUCUUCACAUUAGAUGAGUUCAUUGUACGCUUUCCUUAAGUUUUUUCCUUUAAUUUUCUAUAUUUAUGUGAAUGUAGUGGUUGAGUUCAUAUUUCGAUUUUCUGUACACAUAUUUGUGAUUUAGUUAACUAUUCUAUAAGCUACUUUGUAUAUGGAUAUAAUUUUUUUCAUAUAUUCAUCGUCGUGGAUUGAUAAAAAAUAAUAAAAUGUUUAAAUAUGGUUCACAUGAUGGUUUUUUGAUCCUUUUUCGUUUAGUAUGUUAUUAUUCAAUGUCACCAAUAGAGUGCGUCGUAUUUGCUGGUGUAACUUUUGUUGAUACACACUUCGAUUUAAUUUUUUCCUCUUUACAUGAUUAUAUUUUACUGAAGUUUGUACCUUUUAAUUGUGUGGAAGCAUGUAUAUAUCUCGGUUAAGUGAAAAAAGAAAGUUACAUUCUUAAGAAAAUGAUUAGAAUCCUCUUAUUAUUAAAACAACUUUUAGUACAUCAUAUUAUAAUAAAUUUCUUAUUUCGGUUUUGACCAACAAUUUGUUUUAAAUUAAUCAUUUGUUGGGAGAUUUUUUUU